AGAGUUUGAUCCUGCCUCAGGAUGAACGCUGGCGGCGUGCCUAAUACAUGCAAGUCGAACGAGUUCUGAUUAUUGAAAGGUGCUUGCAUCUUGAUUUAAUUUUGAACGAGUGGCGGACGGGUGAGUAACACGUGGGUAACCUGCCCUUAAGUGGGGGAUAACAUUUGGAAACAGAUGCUAAUACCGCAUAAAUCCAAAAACCGCAUGGUUCUUGGCUGAAAGAUGGCGUAAGCUAUCGCUUUUGGAUGGACCCGCGGCGUAUUAGCUAGUUGGUGAGGUAACGGCUCACCAAGGCAAUGAUACGUAGCCGAACUGAGAGGUUGAUCGGCCACAUUGGGACUGAGACACGGCCCAAACUCCUACGGGAGGCAGCAGUAGGGAAUCUUCCACAAUGGACGCAAGUCUGAUGGAGCAACGCCGCGUGAGUGAAGAAGGCUUUCGGGUCGUAAAACUCUGUUGUUGGAGAAGAAUGGUCGGCAGAGUAACCGUUGUCGGCGUGACGGUAUCCAACCAGAAAGCCACGGCUAACUACGUGCCAGCAGCCGCGGUAAUACGUAGGUGGCAAGCGUUAUCCGGAUUUAUUGGGCGUAAAGCGAGCGCAGGCGGUUUUUUAAGUCUGAUGUGAAAGCCCUCGGCUUAACCGAGGAAGUGCAUCGGAAACUGGGAAACUUGAGUGCAGAAGAGGACAGUGGAACUCC
rnacentral:rRNA from 1 species